UACGUAGGGGGCGAGCGUUGUCCGGAUUUAUUGGGCGUAAAGAGCUCGUAGGCGGUUUGGUAAGUCGGGUGUGAAAUCUCCACGCUCAACGUGGAGGGGCCACUCGAUACUGCCAUGACUCGAGUCCGGUAGAGGAGUGUGGAAUUCCCGGUGUAGCGGUGAAAUGCGCAGAUAUCGGGAAGAACACCAAUGGCGAAAGCAGCUCUCUGGGACGGUACUGACGCUGAGACGCGAAAGCGUGGGGAGCGAACAGG
rnacentral:rRNA from 1 species